rnacentral:lncRNA from 1 species
GGACAGCGGCCGGAGAUCAGACAGGGCUCCGCCGGAGAAGAGGCGGCUCCGGUUGUGGUGGAUGGAGUUGAGCGCCGUCUUGCACUUGUGGCCGGGAUCGGUGUGGCCUUGCGCUACCGCCACCGUUGCCGCCAUCCAAACACGAUUCAAGUAACUCAUAUUUUUCUUCUUUCUCUUAUUUUCUUCUUUUUUCCUUUCUGUUUGCAACACAACACAAUUCAGAGAAACGUUAGUAGUGUAAUAAAAGGGAAGAGGAAAAGGUAAUUUAUAGAGGAAAUGAGAACCACUUGGGAUAUGAUUUUCUGUAUAAUACUCAUUGCUGGUGGGUCCCAUUGUCUACCAAAACACUUAUCUCUUUUUGUUAAUUAAUCCAUAUUAUAGAUUUCGUGUAUCAUUGUAAAGUAUUUAAUAAAAUAAUAAAUAGAUGAUGUGCAUGUACUUAGAAUCACUAAUACUACUAUAUUUCUUGUAAAUCUUUCCAUUGUUUUAGCAAGAUAGUAUUAAAUAAAUAAAAAAAUCAAAUACAUUUUUAUUUAAUAACAUAUUUUUAGUUUUUAAACUUAUUGAAAGAUUAAAAUCACAUCACUUUUGAUAUAUGAAAAUUAUAAACAUUAUUUUUUUGUUGAAAUUAAAAUAAUUGUAUUUUUGUUUUACUUUUUUAAUUUUGCAAAUUAUUUUUCACUUUUUUUUACAAAUUUAAUUCUCUACUAUUUUAACUAUAUAAUUUUAAUUAAUCCGUUAAUUUAACAUUUAAUAUUUAAGAAAAAUGUUAAUUUCGUAUUUCACAUGUGAAUACAGUUACAAGUACAUGACACUAUUGUGUUUUUAUGUUACUUUUUUAUAUUAAACAUAGAUAUUAAAUUAAUAAAGUGAUCAAGAUUGUACAGCUAAAAUAAUACGUAGUAGAAGAUAUUGCAUAAAAAGUUAACAGGAUCAAAUUUGAAAGAAAAUAAAAAUAAAGAAAACUUGUAAAAGUGAGAAAGUAGAAACGACUGCAAUAGUGUAAUUAAUUAAGGCUUGAAUUUAAUAUUAAGAGUGAGAGUUAAAUGCAAUUAGUGAGAGAGAGGAGUGGUGGUUCCAGGAAACAGGUGGUGGACUUAUCCGAAAGAGACAUAAUUGUCACUCAUGACUCAUCUUUUGUUUCUCCAAUUGUAAUUCAGUGAUCAUUCAUUUUCCUGACAUGAAUGUCCCUCUCUUUUUUUUUUUAUCUUUAUUCUCUCUCUUCCAUUCUUCACGGGGCGUGGGUCCCACCUUCUUUGUCCGUUUCAAAGACUCUGGCUCAGGAAGUAUUGGUGUUUUAUGCAGGGGUAAUUUCGUCCUUCUUGGCAGGACCACUUUUUCUUUUACCCAUUUUUUUUUAAUUGAUUUGAUUGUAUACGUGUUGUGCGUUGAACUGUGGCAACGACACGUUGAAGUUUGAGGGAUGAUGGGCCUGCAGUCCGAUGAAUGAUCCAUUUGUUUAUGGGCUCAGGAAGGGCAUCACGUGCGAGUGCAUG